CAAUGUGCAGCACAACUUCCGGGUAUGGCGGACAAUGGUCUUGUUGCUGGAGUUAUUGUUGGACUUUUACUACUGAAUGCAAUAAUAGCAGUAGUUUUUGUAUGUGUUAGAAGGAAGUGCUGCAAGAAAGAAACUGGUCACAAAGAAACUGGACCGGAAGGGGUUGCCAUGCAGACUGUACCUGGAGAACCUGCAGAAUAGAACAGAGGUCACUAAGUACUAUCAUAAAAGAGACUAAAAAAUUCUGAUAAAUGCUGAUAAAGGGCAGAUAAUAAACAGACUGUGGGGAGAAAGAAAAAAGACAAUUUCUGAUGGCAAAGUAGUGAGAAA